rnacentral:rRNA from 1 species
GCGAACGCUGGCGGCGUGCUUAACACAUGCAAGUCGAGUGCGCGGUUCGUAGCAAUACGAACUGGCGCACGGCGCACGGGUGAGGAACACGUGGGCAACAUGCCCUCCGAUGGGGAAUAACCCGCCGAAAGGCGGGCUAAUACCGCAUACGAUUCCGGGGACCUCGGUUCCUGGACUGAAAGCCCGCAAGGGCGUCGGUGGAGUGGCCCGCGGCCGAUCAGCUUGUGCGGGUAACGCCACAAGGCAAUGAUCGUAGCCGGUCUGAGAGGAUGAUCGGCCACACUGGAACUGAGACACGGUCCAGACUCCUACGGGAGGCAGCAGUGGGAAUCUUGCGCAAUGGGCGAAAGCCUGACGCAGCGACGCCGCGUGGGGAUGAAGCCUUUCGGGGCGUAAACCCCUUUCGACCCGGACGAAAUGCCCGCAAGGGAAUUGACGGUACGGUAUAAGAAGCCCGGCUAACUACGUGCCAGCAGCCGCAGUAAU